rnacentral:rRNA from 1 species
GAGUUUGAUUAUGGCUCAGGAUGAACGCUGGCGGCGUGCUUAACACAUGCAAGUCGAACGAACGACUAUUAACAGAACCUUUCGGGGCGAAGAUGAUAGAAGUUAGUGGCGGACGGGUGCGUAACGCGUGGGUAAUCUGCCUUUGUCAAAGGAAUAACUAUUCGAAAGAAUAGCUAAAACUGUAUAAAAUAUUAAUAGGGCAUCCUAAUAAUAUCAAAACGAUAGUGGACAAAGAUGAGCCCGCGUCUGAUUAGCUAGUUGGUGAGAUAAAAGCCCACCAAGGCAACGAUCAGUAGCCGACCUGAGAGGGUGAACGGCCACAUUGGAACUGAGACACGGUCCGAACUCCUACGGGAGGCAGCAGUGGGGAAUAUUGCACAAUGGGGGGAACCCUGAUGCAGCAACGCCGCGUGAGUGAAGAAGGCAUUCGUGUCGUAAAACUCUGUAGUAGGGGAAGAAAGAAAUGACA